UACGGGGGGGGCAAGCGUUGUUCGGAAUUACUGGGCGUAAAGGGCUCGUAGGCGGCCAACUAAGUCAGACGUGAAAUCCCUCGGCUUAACCGGGGAACUGCGUCUGAUACUGGAUGGCUUGAAUCCGGGAGAGGGAUGCGGAAUUCCAGGUGUAGCGGUGAAAUGCGUAGAUAUCUGGAGGAACACCGGUGGCGAAGGCGGCAUCC
rnacentral:rRNA from 1 species